UACGUAGGGGGCAAGCGUUGUUCGGAAUUACUGGGCGUAAAGCGCGUGUAGGCGGUCUGGCAAGUCAGAUGUGAAAGCCCCGGGCUCAACUUGGGAACUGCAUUUGAUACUGCUAAGCUAGAGUACAGAAGAGGUGACUGGAAUUCCCAGUGUAGCGGUGAAAUGCGUAGAUAUCGGGAGGAACACCAGAUGCGAAGGCGGGUCACUGGGCUGAUACUGACGCUAAAGCGCGAAAGCCAGGGGAGCGAACGGG
rnacentral:rRNA from 1 species